AACAAAUCAAUCUUUCACUUUUUACCUAUAAUGUUUAACUCUUCGUCUUAUUUAAAAAAAAUACGAUUAAUAUUUUUAUUUUUAUUAGAUGAUAUAUCAUGAAUAGUAUUUUAAGCGUGACAAAUUUUUUUAAAAUUUCUUAAAAAUUUUUCAAAUAAGAUGGAUUGUCAAACGCUGGACAUAAAAAUCAAAAGAAUUGGUUAUU
rnacentral:pre_miRNA from 1 species